rnacentral:lncRNA from 1 species
AUCCCCUUUUCUCAAUUAUUUCCUAUGGCUGUUUUGACAGAUAAAACACAGACAUUAUGUUCAAUGUAAGAUCCAGGCACAAAAGAAUACACACUUGGGUUCAAUUUGUGAUCCAGUUCUAAAGAUAGGCAAGAGGAAUCUGUGGGAGGAAAGGUGGAAGUAACAGUAUUCAGGAAAGCCACUGUGCCGAACAUUUAACAUUAGUGGCCUUUACAAACUUCAUGUUCGUGAUCUCAGCUCUCCCCAGCAUCCUCUACCAUAAUCAACACAGAGAGCUACCAUCUGUGGUCUGGCUUCACAGAUGUGGCGACUGAGGCUCAGAGUCAGUGUCCAGGGAAGUUCUAACUCCAUUCUGAAGCCAACAUUUACCAUCUCAGUGAGAUUCUUGCUUACGGUCUUCUUGGCAGCAUGAUCUUCUCUGCACACACCCACUGCCACUGACAACCUGGAUGAAGAAGCAGAGUGGUUCACUACAGGAAGUGGUAAGGACACUUGGCUCAGCUCUUUCUAGACCCCACAGUAACCUCAGUCUCAGUGAACUGGAAGUCUUUAGAAAAUGGCAUUUUGAAAUCAAUGGUCUAGCCAUUUUGAACUCCAGGUACACAGCUCUACUUAUCAAGGCAUCAUGGGACCAAUUAGAAUCUUGCAUCAGGAAUUCCUGAAAGUCUAGAACACAGAUCUGUGUUGAAAUGCUACAUGUGGAAGAGGUCCCAGCUUGUUUGGAGUGACUCUUGCCCAGAUGAUUUCAUCAAGGGACUUCUGCGUGGUAGGUACAGUGGGUCCUGCUGAUCCCUGGGGACAUUGCAAACUCUAAGACUCUUUGAUCCAUACUUGGUGAUCCAAAAGGUUGGAAGCACUUGGAGAUCCUAAGCCAUGAUUUUAACCCCAUCCUCUGCUGUGGCAGGGCACCAUAUUGUAAUACCUCCCUCCCUUGGCAGAAUACUGUAUUAGUUACUUUUCUCAUUGUUGUGAUAAAGAGUCCUAAAGAAGCAACGCAAUGGAAGCACUGAUUUGGCUCACAGUUUGAGGGAGUACAGUCCAUCAUGGUGGAAAAGGCACAGUAGCUGGACUAUGAAGCUGCUCGCUCACAUCUCUGUGGAUCAGGGAGCAGAGAGAAAGACAGAAGCUGGAUGUGGAGCUGAAUUAUAAUUCUAAAUGCUCCCUCUACCACCAGCAAACCACUUCUUCCAGCUAGUCUUCACUCUACAAAGGCUCCACCAUCUCCCAAAACAGUGCCACUAACUGGCAAGCAAGCACUCAAACAUAUGAGCUGUGGAAAACAUUUUAUGCAGUGUGUUAGUCAGCUUCUCAUCACUGUGAUAAAAUCCCUGACAUAAUCAACUGAUAAAGAAGAGGGAUUUAUUUUUGACUCAUCGUUACAGAGGUCCCUUGAUCCUAAUGUUUUGGGUUUGAGAUGAAGACAAGUAUUAUGAUGGGGAGAGUAUAUUGGAGUAAAGCUGCUUACAAAGGUGACCAGGAAGGAGAAGGAAGAGGUGGAAGAGGAGGAGGAGGAGGAGGAGGGGGAGGAGGAGGAGGAGGAGGGAGCCAUACCUAAAGCAGGUACU